rnacentral:rRNA from 1 species
UGGGGAAUUUUGGACAAUGGGCGCAAGCCUGAUCCAGCCAUGCCGCGUGCGGGAAGAAGGCCUUCGGGUUGUAAACCGCUUUUGUCAGGGAAGAAAUCUUCUGAGUUAAUACCUCGGGAGGAUGACGGUACCUGAAGAAUAAGCACCGGCUAACUACGUGCCAGCAGCCGCGGUAAUACGUAGGGUGCAAGCGUUAAUCGGAAUUACUGGGCGUAAAGCGUGCGCAGGCGGUUUUGUAAGACAGAGGUGAAAUCCCCGGGCUCAACCUGGGAACUGCCUUUGUGACUGCAAGGCUUGAGUGCGGCAGAGGGGGGCAUGGAAUUCCGCGUGUAGCAGUGAAAUGCGUAGAUAUGCGGAGGAACACCGAUGGCGAAGGCAAUCCCCUGGGGCCUGCACUGACGCUCAUGCACGAAAGCGUGGGGAGCAAACAGGAUUAGACACCCUGGUAGUCCACGCCCUAAACGAUGUCAACUGGUUGUUGGGAAGGUUCCUUCUCAGUAACGUAGCUAACGCGUGAAG